UCACUUAGGUGGUACAUUUACUAAAAUUGGAGCAAUACAGAGAAGAUUAGCAUGAUCCCUGCUCAAGGAUCACACCCAAAAUCGUGGUACAGCCGAGAGUGAG
rfam:Schistosoma haematobium scaffold983_6, whole genome shotgun sequence.